rnacentral:rRNA from 1 species
CGGCGGACGGGUGAGUAACGCGUGGGUAACCUACCCUGUACACACGGAUAACAUACCGAAAGGUAUGCUAAUACGGGAUAAUAUAUUUGAGAGGCAUCUCUUGAAUAUCAAAGGUGAGCCAGUACAGGAUGGACCCGCGUCUGAUUAGCUAGUUGGUAAGGUAACGGCUUACCAAGGCGACGACCAGUAGCCGACCUGAGAGGGUGAUCGGCCACAUUGGAACUGAGACACGGUCCAA